UUUUUUUGUUAGUAAAAAAAAAAAGAAAAGCUAACCAGACAAUAAUUUUGGGAGCAAGAGCCAGAAGUCAUCCUCCUUCCUUCCUGCCCUCAAAAUGCUGGCAGCUUCUCUCCUUCGAAGAGCCACCCUCCUACGUUUGUCCUUUCGGCCACCCGUUUCUUCCUCUCCUCUUCUUCAUUUGAGGCCUCCAAUUCCAAGGAUUCAACGACCUCCUCGGAUUUCCAGUUCCCGCAGAGCAACACUGAUUCUGAUGUCGAUGCUCCCGAUCCAUAGCGCCCUCGCAUCGGCUCGCCUAGUUUCCAGGCUUCCAGUCGAAGCAAGCGCGUGUUUAGAAGGCAGAUUUGCUAACUACCUAAGCCCCAUCUAGUGAUGUGAAGAGCCAAAACCUUGACCAAAGGCAUCACUAUUAUUUUCCUGAAAUGAGAAUAACUAUGAGGUGCAUCAAGCAUUUGAUUUUGUUCGUAGUCUUUAGUUAUUCCCUUCAUAUUAUUACAGAUGCUUCUUUGAAGCCAUCAGUUACAUGUUGGAUCAGAGAGUCAAUUAUCAAACCUUGCAAAACUCCAUAUUUAACAUUGUUUUAAAACGUAGGCAUCUAUGCCUUUUCCUGUAUGCUUUUUUUAAUGGAAAAAAAAAAGGCAGGUAUAUGUUUCUAUUCA